ensembl:lncRNA
AUGCUCUCCCAGCUCUCCACCGCCCUGGUGACUUCCUCACGCUGGGGCCACCGGCCUUUCUGGUUCCCCUUCGGCAAAUACACUCCAGUCCCCCAGAGACCGAUUUCCACGGAAACCAUGGCCACAGGGCGCCUUCUAGAGAGGCUGUCUGUCGAGCAGGGUGUGGCAGAAAGGAGGCACAGUCUCAGGAUGACGUUAGAAAUGGGAACAAGACACAGAGACAGCAGAAGAGCCCGUGAACAUGCCAAGUGUUUGAGAACAUUUCUAUUGGUGGAGGGACAGACCUCAGAAAGAUCAGGAGGCCAGACACAGAGCACCUGCUGUGUGCCAGGCUUGAGGCAAAGUGCUGGAGGGGUCGGGGGUCAGAUGGCACCUUGUCUCCAGGGCGUUUGCAGCCUCUCAGUGCACAGAGAAUCACACCAAACAAGAGCACAGCAAAGAACGGAGCAUACGGGCGCACGUCACCAGGGAAAACCAUCCUGUACUGAGCUGGAAACGGUCACGAGAGAUGACGUCUCGACAAGCAGGUGGGGAUCCAGAGAGAAACAAGCCCAGAGCGGCGGCCGGUUUCAGCCGCAACUUUCAGCCGGUUGCGACAUCCAAGGAAGGAAUUCUUUCCGUGCGGAAGAAGUCGCCUCUCCCCAGAUCUGUCCAGCGUGAGCGGGCAGCAGCCUCAGGGGAGGGAUGGAGAAGACACACGUACGCCCACGUACACACGUGCACACGCACCCUCGCACACCUGCACAGACGCACAUACUGCAAACACACACCCAUGAUCAUGUAGUUACACAGCGGGGCAGUUCUGGCAAGUGGGUCAUUGGAUUUUUGUUCUUCAGUUCACCCCUUCUUUCUAGAAACAGUGACCUACGGGCAUCAGAAAAGCGUCAGAAAAAUCCAGAAAAGGCACCCGCAGCGCUACCUCUAGGAAAAACAAGGGCGACCUUCGGCUCAUCUUUCCUUUGUACUUGUUAAGUGUAGACCCACUUGUACAAAAGCAAUUACUCUCCGUCCUGGGUUUCUCGUCCACUUACCAGUUUCUACCUCAGGUCUAUCCCCAUGUUUCUAAGUAGAAUUUUAAUCAUGACAAAACACCCUUUCAGGUGGCUGCUUCACAAUUUCCCUAAAGGCAUUGAAAUUGUUACACUUUUUCCAAAAAUAAAAUGAGUCACUGUCAUCA